rnacentral:lncRNA from 1 species
AGGAAUUCAAAUCCUUUAGACUUACUUCACACAUAUAUUUAUGACAUGAAGUCAAUACCAUCUCAUGGUGGAAAAAGGUAUUUCAUAACUUUUAUUGACGAUAGUACUCGAUAUUGCUAUGUUUACUUACUUAAUAGUAAAGAUGAAACAAUAGCCGCAUUCACGCAAUACAAAAAUGAAGUCGAAACGCAUCUUAACAAGAAAAUCAAAAUGAUAAGAAGUGAUAUGGGCGGUGAAUAUGAACCUCCUUUUGAACAAAUAUGUUUAGAAUAUGGAAUUAUUCAUCAAACAACGGCUCCUUAAACGCCCCAAUUCAAUGGGAUUGCAGAAAGAAACAAUCAUUCAUUAAAGGAGAUGAUGAAUGCAUUUUUAUAAGUUCUAGUUUUCCACAGAACUUGUGGGGGGAAUCCGUUCUUACGGCUAGCCGAAUACCAAAUCGAGUACCACAUAGCAAAAUACAAUUCAUUCCAUAUGAAAAAUGGAAAGGAAGGCAUUAUUUUAAAGUAUGAGGGUGUUUGGCAAAAGUGCAAGUUCCUAAACCCAAAAGGGUAAAAAUAGGACCGAAAACCAUUGAUUGUUUCAUAGGAUAUGCGACUAAUAGUAAAGCAUAUCGAUAUCUAGUUCAUAAAUCAGAAAAUCCCAACAUUCAUAAUAAUAUGGUUAUAUGAUCAGAUAAUGCUGAGUUAUUUGAAAAUAUAUAUAUAUAUCCAUAUAAAAAAGAAUGUGAGUUGAUUGGUGAAGGUUCUAAACGACCUCGAGAAGAAACAAAAUAAAGUACACUUAAUCAGGAGGAUCCACGACGUAGUAAACGUCAAAGAAUGUCUACUUUAUUUGGACCUAAUUUUGUGACUUUCUAAUUGGAAAAUGAGCUUCAAAAGAAGCUAUAUCUUCUUAGGAAUUAUUAUUUUGGAAAGAGGCAGUCAAUAAUGAAAUAAAAUCCAUACUGAACAACCAUACAUGUGAAUUGGUUGAUUUUCCUCCUGGAAAUAAACCGUUGGGUUCUAAAUGGAUCUUUAAAAGGAAAAUAAAAGAUGAUGGCACUAUUCACAAAUUUAAAACAAGAGUUGUGGUCAAAGGGUGUAGACAACGAGAAGGUCUUGACUAUUUUGAUACAUAUUCUCCAGUUAUAAGAAUUAAAUUCAUAUGAAUGUUAGUAGCGUUAGCUGCAGUUUAUGGUCUUGAAAUUCAUCAAAUAGAUGUUAACACGGCUUUUUUAAAUGGAGAGUUGGAGGAAGAAAUUUACAUGGAACAACUGAAGGGUUUGUGGUUCCAGGUAAAGAAAAGAAGGUAUGUAGACUUGUUAAGUCCAUUUACGGGCUAAAACAAGCACCUAAAUAAUGGCAUGCGAAAUUUGACCAAACAAUGUUGUCAAAUGGUUUUAAAAUAAAUGAAUGUGAUAAAUGUGUGUACAUUAAAAAAUUUUCAAAUCACAUAGUCGUUGUUUUCUUAUAUGUGGAUGAUAUGCUGAUAAUGAGUAAUGACAUUGCCAACAUAAAUGCGACUAAGCACAUGCUAACUAGCAAGCUUAAUAUGAAAGACUUGGGAGUUGCUGAUUUAAUUCUGGGAAAUAAAAUCCAUAAGACUUCUCAAGGUCUAGCUUUGUCACAAUCUCAUUAUAUUAAGAUAGUACUUGAAAAAUUCAAGCACUUGGGCUUUAAAGUUGCAAAGACUCCAAUUGACGUGAAUCUUGCAUUAGCAAAGAACAAAAUGCCAAAGCAUAUCACAAUUGGAUUAUGCUUAUGUGUUGGGUUGCUUAAUAUACAUCAUGAAUCGUACAGGACUAGAUAUAACUUGUGCUAUAAGUAAAUUGAGUCGAUAGAAAUCCAGGUCAAUCUCAUUGGAUGACCGUGAAACGAGUUUUGGGGUAUUUAGUAUAUCCCAGGACUUUGCUUUUCACAACAGUAAAUAUCUUGUGGUCAUUGAGGGAUACUGUGAUGCAAAUUGGAUCACCGAAUCAACUGAUUCCAAGUCCACAAAUGGAUAUGUAUUCACUAUUGGUGGAGGAGUGCUGUCUUGGAAGUCGUCCAAACAAACUUAUAUUGCCUGCUAUAAAAUGAAGGCUGAAUUCAUUGCGGUAUCUUGGAAGUCAUCCAAACAAACUUGUAUUACCCGCUCUAUAAUAGAGGCUGAAUUCAUAGCCUUAGAUAAAGCCAGUGAAGAAGCUGAAUGGCUCCGAAAUUUCUUGGAAGAUAUUUCAUUUUGGCCCAAAAUCGUUGGCACCAAUAUGCAUACUUUGCGAUAGUCAAGCGGCAAUUGGAAUGGCUGGAAGCGCUAUGCAUAACGGUAAAUCUCGUCAUAUACCACGAAGACAUAAAACCGUCAAGAAAUUACUCUCUAGAGCAAUUAUCACGAUUGAUUAUGUAAAGUCAAGUGAUAAUGUGAUCAUCGAGGGAAAUGAGACUGUGGAUGAGAAUAAGUCAUAGUGGAGGUAAGUUUACCUAGAAGACUGGAGAUCCCAAGAUCUAGGUUCAAGAUAUCAAACAAAGUCAUUAAUGAUGAUUCAACAUUUUCAACUAAACUUUUGAUCCAUUCUCGUGAUGAGACAAUGUUCAGCACCAAGGAUAAACCAUUAAGGAUUUUCAAUGAUUUCUAAAUUUGAUACGGGAUAUAUCAAAUAGGUAUCUACCGGAUGACACAUUUAGGAAUCACCUAUGUAAGUGUGAAGUGUUAGCCGCUUCAAGGGGAACUUUGUAAGGCCAGUUCUCUAUGCACUUAUGAAACUGGACGGUGUUCAUGGCUGAAAUAAACACAAUAAUGUGUGAUGACCCGACCCAUAGUCUCAUGUGUUUCCAUCCCGUUUUCGCCAUUUUAUGCUUAUACAUGUUUCAUUAUACGCAUUUGGUGAAUUUGAAGUAAUUCGGAUAGAGUUUGGUUGAAAAUGAGACAAUUAGUCUCUUUAGGAAAAGUUUGGUUUGGAAUAGUCAACCGGAUAUUGACUUGUAAGUUAGAGGGAUCAGAAUGGACUUUUUGAUGGUUUGGUUAGUUUUGGGGGAUGAUUUAAGGCUCAGGAGAUUAAUCGGAAAUAAAUUUGGAGGCUCGUUGUAGAAGUUAGCCUGUUUUGGCGAAGUUAGGAUUUUGGCGAAAUUCGGUUGAUAUGCGAGAUUUUGACCGAGGGUCAAAAUAGAAUUUCGAGAGUUGCAGUAGCUUCGUUAGGUAAUUUUUGAUAUGUAUACAAAAUUUCAGUUGAUUCGGAGGUGUCUUGGUCGGUUUUUAUCGAAUGCGUUUUUCGAAAGUUUUAGUUUGACUUAGGCUUGAAUCCAUUGUGAUUUGAUGAUUUUUGUGUUGUUGGAUGUGUUUAUAGGAUUGGAACAAGUUUUAAUGAGGUUUUAGGACAUGUUGGUGGUUUUGAUUGAGGUCCCGGGGGCCUCUGAGUGAUUUCGGAUGGUCAAUCUGACCAUUUCUAGACUUUGAGGAUUGCUAGUUUUUCAGCUGUUGGUGUUGCAGAAGGUUGUUCUUCGCGUUCGCAUGGGUGAGUCACGAACGCGUAGAAGGAAAUGGAGGGCCAGGAUAUUUGGCCUUCGUGUUCGCGAAGCUGGGUCGCAUUUGCCUAGGUUGGUGGCUUUUUCUCUUCGCACUAACAUUUGGCAUGGGUGAGUUGCGAACGCGUAGAAGGAAUUGGAGGGCCAGGAUAUUUGGCCUUCGCGUUCGCGAAGCUGGGUCACGUUCGCAUAGGCUGGUGGCCAGUGCUCUUCGCGGACACGGGGUCCCAAAUGCGAACACGAAGAGUACUGGCCACCAGCCUACGCGAACGUGACCCACCUUCGAAAAUGCUAAGGCUAAAUAUCAUGUCCCUCCAAUUCCUUCUACGCAUUUACGACUCACCCAUGCAAACGCGAAGAACAACCUUCUGCAACACCAAUAGCUGAAAAACCACCAAUCCUCAAAGUCUAGAAAUGGUCCGAUUGACCAUCCGAAAUCACUCCGAGGCCCCCGGGACCUUAACCAAAAGCACCAACACAUCCUAAAACCUCAUUCAAACUUAUUCCAAUCCUAAAAACACAUCCAACAACACAAAAAUCAUCAAAUCACAACGGAUUCAAGCCUAAGUUAAACUAAAACUUCCGAAACUCGCAUUCAAUCAAAAACUCGACCUAGACACCUAUGCAUCAACUGAAAUUUUGCACACACAUUCAAAAUCACCUAACAAAGCUACUAAAACUCUCGGAAUUCUAUUCCGACCCUCGGAUCAGAAUUUCGCAUAUCAACCGGAUUUCGUCAAAAUCCUAACUUUGCCAAAAUAGGCUAACUUCUACAUCGAACCUCCAAAUUCACUUACGAUUGCUCUCCUAAGCCUUAAAUCAUCCCUUGAAACUAAAUAAACCAUCAGAAAUCAAUUCCGAGCCUUCUAACUCAUAAGUCAAAAUCCGGUUGACUUCCAAACCAAACUUUUCCUAAAGAGACUAAUUGUCUCAUUUCCAACCAAACUCUAUCCGAAUUACUUAAAAUUCAUCAAACACAUAUAAUGAAACAUGUAAAACCAUAAAACCGGGAAAACGGGAUGAAAACACAUGAGAAGAUAGGUUGGGUCGUCACACAAUGAGAACCAAAGACGCUUAAGGGUUGCUUGUGUGAAUUAUGGUUGUCCAGGUAUACACCAAAGUUCGACGGUUCGAAAAUAUCAAAUCUACCGAUUGACCGAGUAUAUCCGACAUAAGAUAACUACGGAAAGUUCAAAUGGUAACCUACUUAUCCAGAUGCAAUUAAUCCUUACUUGCGAAUUACGCAGUUUUUCAUGCAUAUUUUCGUGAUAUAGCCAUUUCUUAUUCAUGUGGGGGAUUUCUGGGAUUUUAAUUAUAUGAUAUGCUUAAAAUAGGGUGAAUGAAAAAUGGGGGAAAAUGAAAUUUUAAGUUCCCCCCUUGCCAAGGGAAAUUGUCCCAUAUUGGAAGAGUAGGAAGUUUUUUUAUGGGUAUAUAAACAACUGCUCUUCUUCUAGCUCUUAAAGAGUUAAGAAGAAGGCAAGCCUCGUACCGUCGUCAUCGCUCGCUUUCUCAGCUUCGGCUUCGGCUUCAGAUUCAGAUUCAGAUUUGGUCAACUGAUCGAUUGAUUGAUUAAUUUUUUGUACCAAAUUUAUUUGUUAAUAGUAAAAUAUUAACAUAAAUAUUAUUAAAUAUUUAUUUUAAUAAUAGAAUAUUAAUAUUAAAUCCAAUCCAUUUUUUCUGUUAUGUAACUGUAAAUUAAAGGAAUUUUUACCUCAUAUAGCAAAUGUUAACACCUUAUUUAUUUUAAAUAAAUACCAUUUAAAAAAUUAUAUUCUAUAGAUACCUUUUAAUGUUUAUAGAAAAGUAUUUAAAUUUGAUUACCUCCUACCCCUAAGCCACUAAAUACGUUAUUCAGUUACACUAUUUGCUUUUUCUCUCUACUUUAAUGCACUAUUCAAUAAUGAAAGCAGUAAGUUUCCUCUUUAUCAAUUUGUCAUUAAAGGCUUGAAGACAGUAACUUUCCUCUAAUCAUUCUUCAAUCUUCAUCAGUAUGGUUGUCGCCUUCCUGUUCUGAGAAACUUUUCUCUUAUAGCUGAUAUUCCCAACACUACACAUGUAACAUGUAACAUCCGUACUAUCUUUUUGCAAUUGUUACAUAAAGACUCCAAUAUCAAGUGUAUUAUCUCAUUUAGACCAGAAUUUUUUCCCCUGUUCGUUUCCCCAAGGCGGUGCGUUUUUACUAUCGGUUUCCGGUGAAUGGCGGACUAGCCAGAAAAUAGAGUGUAUUCCUGAAAAAAGACGAUGGAGUAUGGGGCGGAGCAACUUGAUUUUUUAUUAAUAUAUUUUAAUAUAUUUUAUUGUAUUCAUUGUCUUUUUUUUAUUGUAAUUCAAUGUAUCUCGUUGUAUUCCAUGUAUUUUAUUGUGUUCAUUGUCUUUUUUUUCAUUGUAUUUCAAUAUAUCCCGCUUUAUUCUAUGUAUUUCAUUGUAUUCAUUUUCUCGCUAUAUGCCAUGAAUGUAUUAGUAUAUUUUUUAUAAUUAAUAUAAUUUAUGUAUUCAGAUGUAUUAUAUUAUUUCUCUGAAGAUUGCCAUGUUUUUUGGGUAUUUUCCGAUUGCCAUGUUUUUUUGGGUAUUAAGAGUCUAUUAUGUUAAUUGAUUCACUUUCCGUUUUAAAAAUAGUGUAAUCCCCUAUUUCACGCCGUCAAUACAGUCGAAUACAAUAAUCUGUCUAGCUGUAAUUCCAUGUUUCAAUGAAUACGGUCGAAUACACUCGAAUACAACAACUGAUUAGCUAGACUUCCCUGAGUCACGCCUAAUUUUGGUACUGUAUUCUUGAAUACAAUAGCUUAAGUAGAUCAAAUGCAUCUUAUAACCACAUAAAAGAUAUCUAUAAUCCGCAAUAUAGCAAAUGGUAUCUAUAGAUGGCUAAUUACUACUAAAGGUUAGUGCUUUACGAAAAUUUCUCAAAAUUAAACUACGCUCUUCAAUUUUCCCUCUUUAUUGUUGAGUAAAUAGCCAUUUAUGUUUUGCCAUUUAUGCUGUGGCCAUUUUGUAUAAGCAACCAUUCUGUAGAGUUGCACCUCUUCAGAUUUCAACCAAACUUUGGCUAUAAACUUUGUGUUCUCUGAAAUACGGUGAUUUGAAGUACCACUACACCAGUGCCUAAUUCGUUCUAUCAUGAAAGGAAAUAAUCCAUAACCUUGGGUACUAGGAGGGGAUUAAAUUCCUUAAGGAAACACUGUGAAUUCGGUGGGAUCGAAAUGAUUUUUGUUAUUUCGUUUACAUUUCUAUAUAUGUUAUUUUAUUUUCACCAAAAAUGUUUUACAAAUAGAGAUUACUAAUAGUUUCUGCUAUCAAAAAUGGAAAAAAAAGAGUUGGGAAAGCUGAGUUAACUGCAGUUAUCAAUGUAUGGGUCAAAACCUGACUCGUGAUAAUUAAAAAGAUUAUUUCUCUCUUAAGCAUAUUCGGAUUAACAAAUGGCACAACCAUUCGUUAAUAGCAAGCACUCAAAGAUCGCGCAGCUUAAUCAAUGCAGCUAUGGCCUACUCGCUAUUGACAGGCGUCCCAUCGACAUGGUCACGGCUGCCUGAUGCCAACUGGAAAGAUUCACAGCUAUGAUUACUAAGAGAAAGAACCCUAAAAGGGGGCUGCCUCUUCUUCUUCCUGGCCAUUUUCGAGAAAAGAGAGAAUAUCAUUGUAAGGCUCUGAACCUCUCCAUGGAGAGGCAGACCAAGCUAAUAUCAUCAAUAAAAGAUCUCUACCCUUCUCUCCCUAACAAAUAACACUUGUCUCUUGCAUUUUUACAUUUGGUCUUUUGAUUAUUAUGAUCUUCUAUGAUUGGCCCUUGAUUUAUUUCGAUUGUUUUAUGCGUAUAAAGUGUACAAUAACUUUGAGCAAAAUAAUUUGGCGCCAUCUGUGGGGACCCAGGCUAUGUGCCUUCGACAUCGAAAAUUGCAAAGGUUCAACUACGGUUGAACAACUUCUCAGGCUACGCGCCCUCGCCCAAAAGUUCAACUAUGAGAUGAACUGGAACUCAGGCUAUGUGCCAUCGACAUCAAAAAUUGAAAAGGUUCAACUACAAUUGAACAACAACUCAAGCUACGCACCCUCCCCAAAAAGUUCAACUAUGAGUUGACCUGGGACUCAGGCUAUGUGCCUUCGACAUCGCAAAGGUUCAACUACGAUUGAACAACUACGUACGCUACGUGCCCUCGCCCAAAAGUUCAACUAAGAGUUGAACUGGGACCCAGGCUAUGUGCCUUCGCAUCGAAAAUUGCAAAGGUUUAACUACGGUUGAACAACUAUUCAGGCUACGCGCCCUCAACCAAAAGUUCAACUAUGAGUUGAACUGGAACUCAGGCUAUGUGCCUUCGACAUCAAGAAUUGCAAAGGAUCAACUACAGUUGAACAACAACUCAGACUACGCGACCUCGCCCAAAAAACAUCUAUGAGUUGAACUGAGACUCGGGCUAUGUGCCUUCGACAUCAAAAAUUGCAAAGGUUAAACUACAGUUGAACAACUACUCAGGCUACAUGCCCUUGCCCAAAAGUUCAACUAUGAGUUGAACUAGGACCAAGGCUAUUUGCCUUCGAUAUCAAAAAUUGCAAAGGUUCAAUUGAACAACUACUCAAGCUACGUGCCCUCGCCCAAAAAUUCAACUAUGAGUUGAACUGGAACUCAGGUUAUGUCCCUUCGACAUCAAAAAUUGCAAAGGUUCAACUACAGGUGAACAACAAUUCAGGCUACGCACCCUCGCCCAAAAGUUCAACUAUGAGUUGAACAAGGACUCUGGCUAUGUGCCUUCGACAUCAAAAAUUUCAAAGGUUCAACUACGGUUGAACAACUACUCAGGCUACGCGCCCACGCCCAAAAGCUAAACUAUGAGUUGAACUUGAACUCAGGCUUUGUGCCUUCGACAUCGAAAAUUGCAAAGGUUCAACUACGGUUGCACAACUACUCAGGCUACGCGCCCUCGCCCAAAAUUUCAACUAUGAGUUGAACUGGAACUCAGGCGAUAUGUCUUCAAUAUCAAAAAUUACAAAGGUUCAACUACGGUCGAAUAACAACCCAGGCUACGCGCCCUCGCCCAAAAGUUCAACUAUGAGUUGAACUGGGACUCAGGCUAUGUGCCUUCAAUAUCGAAAAUUGCAAAGGUUCAACUACGGUUGAACAACUACUCAGGCUACACUCCCUGGCCCAAAAGUUCAACUAUGAGGUGAACUGGGACUCAGGAUUUGUUCCUUCGACAUUAAAAAAUUUUAAAAUUCAACUGCAGAAUGAUCUAAGACUCCCGUCGCACGCCUUCGUCAUCACGAGACCAACCCCACCCAGACGGCAAGGCAUAACGCCCUCGUCCUGAAAGUUAAAAGGGUUUCAACCCCGGCUGAACCAAAACUCAGGCCAAUUGCCCUCACCAUUGGAUGCUGCAAGGCCUGUUUCUCAACGAACGAAGGGACAACUUAAGCACCCUUUCCAAUCAAGCAAGUAUGCCUAACUUGAACCAAGAUUAAAUCUAAUCCGCGAUAAGUUAUGCCCCGGCAAAAUUGCAAGGCCAUGGCCAGUAAUUCGACCACGCCCAAACAGGGACUAAGGCAAUAUGCCACUCUCUCCAAAUAAAGGCCACCGACUUACUCUUAUCGAGUAAAGGAAAGCGAUAAGCAAAAAGCAACCAAUCACGGCUAAAGCCAUCGACGCCACCUAAUUUUCGACUAAGGGCGAGCAAAAGACUCGACAACAGUCGAAGUCAUCCAACUGGUCAAGGCCAACAAUCGAAGUCAUCCAACUGGUCAAGGCCAACAAUCGAAGUCAUCCAACUGGUCAAGGCCAUCGACGUUACCACAACUAAAAUCGUAGGGGGAUCAACAUGCACACUAGAAAACUCUAAAGGCGAAGAUCCCUUGAACGAAUGAAAAAAUAAAAAUCAAAAACAAGAAAAGGAACAUAAAAUUGCAUAUAUAUCUACAACUUUAUUUACAAUGAGACACCUCCGCUUACAUACAGCAAGGCCAGCUAACAAAGAAAAAUUAGCCAAACGGCAACAAAAAAAAUAGAAUAAAACUAACUCUACAAAAACCUUUUUACUCAGUGCCACCCGCACCACCAUCAGCGCCCUCGGUGCCAUCAUCAGCCCCUGGAGUGGCCGGGUCAAAGCCACAGCCAAGAUGAGCAUCACGGGCCUUUUGACGAGCACCCUCAUAAACAGCUUCGUGCACAAUGCCGGCCUCCCAUAAUUUUCUGUACACGUCGAGCUGGGCCUCAACAAACGACCAAAGGUCACGAACGGGGCUGUAAGAGGCCUCCUGGUCCCUCAGGCACUGAUUCUCGGCCUCCAAGGCCGUAAUCCGAUCUGCCGCAAUAUGGGCAUCCUGUUCAUAAUCGCCAAUGUGUUCCUCUAUCCCCGCCACUCCAAAAGCCACAGCAAAUCUCUCCAGCUCCCUUUCCCUCUCACGAACACGGACCGUCGUCUCCAACUCCCCAGCCUUCAUUAAGCAUACCUUGUUUCCCGCCUCGAGGAAGCGAGCUCCUCGUCAAAAUUAACCACAUGCCUGAUCAAGGCCUCAGAAGCCUCUGUCGGGGCCUCCUGACUUCGGCACUCCCUUUCAGCUACAGCGCUCCUCUCGGCCUCCAUCUCCUCGUCCUUACGACGAAGUUGCUCUCGAGAGCGUUUACCCUGUUUUGAGUUUGCUGCACUAGAAGUUCCCGCCUAGCCAACUCUUCAAACAACUCCCGGCUGCGAGGGUCGUCCUUCAAGCGAUCGCUCAUCGCGCGGCACCUAUCCCAGUAGCGGCGAUACUUCUCCAGCAUCUGCAAAAAGAUUCAUGGGCGAACGUUGGCUCGGUGCAUACCCUCCACUCCCAAAAGGAUGGUCUGCAAAGCAAAAACAAUGGUUAAAAUAGAAGGCAAAUCAGGGCAAGAAUAGAAACGAAAAAAGAUCAUCACAUGUACCCUAAAACCUAUCACGGCCGCCUCGGUCAUCAAUCCGACGUCUGUAACGUCCCUCAGUGACCUGAUCUCCUCCUCUGAGCACAAAGGCGCAAACAUCGGUACCAAAUUUUCCUCCUCAAGCACCAGGUUCUGCUUGGUAGGAAUCUCAGCAUAACAAAAUGGUCCCUCUGCAUGCGCCUUCACGUUGGUGAAGCCUUCCCGGAGCAUGCGGACGUCGUCAAGAUCCAAGUCAGACUCGGAGUCAAACUCCCCUCCCGCGAUGUCCUUUUCUUCCUUAACCGGCCGAGAGUUCAAGGCCCCCUCCCCCGCCAAAGGGUUGACACUUACUUCUCUGACCAAAGCAGCUGCUGAGGAACCACCUUCCCUCUCAACAACUGGGAUUGACAAUUAAGGUGCCGAAGCGACGGUUUCAUUACGGCUUGAGCCGACUAGGGCAACCCCCAUUGUGUUUUCGCCCUCAAGGGCAGGCAUAUCCAUCUCACUCCCCUCCGCACCCGACGACGGGGAGUCCAAAUGUACCACCUCGACAGUAGACGUGAAGGCGAACCUACGCCUAACCAAUGGCCUUUCCUCCUCCUCCUCAUCCUCAUUCAAAGGCGAUUCCGUGCUAGGGCGAACAACCCCCGAAGACGCCUCGAACCGAGAUAUAGACCAUGCUGGGGAAUGGGCCACCGAUGACUCAAUUGAAGUCGCCCUCAGAACUGGACGCGGCAUCAACGCCAUAACCAGCUGAGCAAUCGCAUCUGACCUGCAGAAAGCAAGUUGAGGAGCCCUCACACGGCGCACCACCCCUGAUCAACCAAUAAAAAGAUUAAAAGGAGAGAAACUCAGCACAAUCGAUCAAGAACGAUGCAAUAACUCAAACACUCACCCGAAGCGGGUCUACGACCAUGCCUUUCCCAGAAGUACGACAAUGUGCGGAUCCCCACUAUCCGAGGGAGUACGGCCUCGACCCAUUCGCUAAUGCCGCAAAGAGGAGCCGAUCGUACCCGCUCAUCUACAAAUAAAAGUUAGAGUUAACCCCUAUCAGAACAAGGAACAAGAAAGAACAGAAGGCAGAAUCCGACGAAUAGAAAACUCACGUAUAUGGUUCCAAGUCUCCAGGAACUCCCACAUUCACCACAAAAUGCUCGGUCCUGAUGUAGAAAAAAAUCUCAUAAGUAUGAGAAUCGACCUCGUCAUCCAGCUCCACGGUCAAACCCUUGGCCCCACGAGGGACCAUUCGAAUCUUGUUAUCGCGGACCCUCUAAGGGGCAUACAGAAUCAGCACGUGUCGCGGCGUUAUUGCUUUUCGGGCCAACUCCGCAUACUUGGCAAGCAUGGCAAAAGGCUUGUAGAAAGAAGGGACGAGAUUGGUCAGGACACACCUCGUAAUAGCGGCAAAAAUCUACCACCAACGUUGGAAAGGGAAGCCUAAAUCACAAUCUAAAAGGGUAAGCGUAGAAAAUGCAAUACCCUGGGUGGUUGAUAUGCAUCCUUUCCUCACUCCUAGCAAGGAAGAUAUCAGCAGAACGAGAGAUGCCUCAUUGCUCUCACAAAAGCCAUCAUUAACUUCAUAACCAACCAAAAAACGGUUCGAAUACAUAGUAACGUGUGCCAUUAAUGGCAGAUACCACGAAACUACUUUGCGACUGUCAAUCACACAUUGCCUUCAAAGCAGGUUUGACGGCUUGGCUAUGAUGGAAGGACGUCCAAUGCGCCUCCACACAUCGAACACCAUUGCAGUGCACAUCAAGCACACCCAUAUCCUCAGCGGCCACCUACGGGAAUACAUGGCCCUAGAUGAAAACAUCAAACGGCCAUCCCCCAUGUAUAUAAAUGGCUACGGCCAUCUCCUAAAUAUAAACGGCUACGACCAUCCCCCGUGAAUAUAAAUGGCUACGGCCAUCUCCUAAAUAGAAAUGACUAUGGCCACCCUCCAUGUAUAUAAACGGCUAUGGCCGUCUCCUAAAUAUAAAUAGCUACGAACACCCUCCAUGUAUAUAAAUGGCUACGGCCAUUCCUAAAUAUAAAUGGCUACGGCCACCCUCCAUGUAUAUAAAUGGCUACAGCCAUCUCCUAAAUAUAAAUGGCUAUGGCCGUCCUCCAAGUACGAGUGGCUACGGUUGUUUCCUAAAAAUAUAUAAAUGGCUACGACCAUCUCUUAAGAAUAAACGGUUAUGGCCAUCUUCAAAGCAUGAACAGCUACGGCCAUCCUAGGCUAUGGCCGAAAUGGCUUCAGAUCCCCUUUUCUCCGAAUCAAUUUGAAUCACGUUCAGUAAAGUCCGCUCAUCGAGUUCGACCGGAUCUCGACCUCAAUAAGCGGAAGGACUAAUUGUAUGGAUCAAAACCUGACUCGUGAUAAUUAAUAAGAUUAUUUCGCUCUUAAGCAUAUUCAGAUUAACAAAUGGUACAACCAUCCGUUAAUAGAAAGCACUCGAAGAUCCCUCAGCUUAAUCAAUACGGCCAUGACCUACUCACUAUUGGCGAGCGUCCCCUCGACAUGGUAAUGGCUGCCUGAUGCCAGCUAGCAAGAUUCACAGCUAUAAAUACUAAGAGAAAGAACCCUAAAAUAUGGUUGCCUCUUCAUCUUCCUGACCAUUCUCGAGAAAAGAGAGAAUAUCAUUGUAAGGCUCUGAACCUUUACAUGGAGAGGCAGACCAAGGUAAUAUCAUCAAUAAAAGAUAUCUACCCUUCUCUCCCUAACAAAUAACACUUGUCUCUUAUAUUUUUCAUUUGGUCUUUUGGAUUAUUACGAUCUGCUAUGAUUGGCCCUUGAUUUAUUUCGAUUGUUUUAUACGUAAAAAGUGUACAAUGACUUUGAGCAAAACAAUCAACAAAUGCACGUUAACUUCCUUACUCUGUUUCGCUUUCUUUUUUCCUUUUAGUUUAUUGCUUUUUCAUAUGGAACGUUCUGUUGAAAUGCCUUUGUUCAUCCGUACUAUUGACCUGUCAAAGCUGUUGCGGAAACUCUCUCAAAUGCAAGCAGUCAUAAACUAGCUAUUUUAUACUAAGGAACUGUGCUAGUUUUAGUCUCAAAGUUAUAAUUUAACUGUGUUCACCUAUUAUAUAUGUAACAUACCCUUUUUUUCGAUUAAGCACAAACAUAUAUAAGAAAAAAAAUUGUCUCUCAGAAUGCAAUAUGGCUUUACUGGGCCAUUUGAUGAAGAUACUAUUUAUCCUAGGAUUUUAGAAACUUGUCAAAAGAUAAAUCAAUGGCAAGUGAUAGAAGAAUUCAUACUAUUUUAAUCGUAUUAAAAUAUCAAACAAAGAAAGAAUGAAAAACAUGCAUAACCUCUCAAGCACAUAAAAGGAAUCAAAUAAAACAGUACUGUAUUCUGUAAUGCAGAUUGCAGCACUAUCCUGAACAUAUCACUCACAAAAACUUAGUAUUGAAAAUGCAGAAAUUUCCUAAGAUGAAAGACCAGCCUUGAUUUUCUGAAUAGUGGUAACAUCAGACUUGAAUGACUUGGCAAGAAUUUGAUCAUCGACUCCUGUAGAAAACAACGUAGUAGGAAGUGAAACAGUUCCAGCAUUCGCGCUACCAAAACCAGAAACAGCUGUAGCCGAUUUUUUCCAAUCAGAAUUAUACUGAUAAUGCACUAAUCCUUUAGGGAACACAAACAAGUCACCAACUUGAAGAGUCUGAGUGUAAAGCUUGUUACUGGUGUCCACAAAUCCAACCUCGAGACUACCUUGAACGACGAAUAGCAGCUCAGCUGCGCGAGGAUGGGUGUGGAGCGGGUUUACACCUCCUCCUGGAAACUGAAGUACUGCCAAUGAAACACUCUGACUAUCCAAAAUUGGAAACUCUGCCUUGCUAACUUUUGUCACUUUGAACUUUUCAGUGAUACUACCAAAAAUACCACGCGUGCCUGUGAAGGUAAAUAGGUUCCCAUCUAUCGCGCUUCCUGGAGGAACAAUGAAGUCGGACAAGAUAUCUGGAUCACUAGCUUGAGCCAUCAAAAAGAUGGUAAACAUGGCUACAACAAAAAGGACACUUUUCAGGUGGAAUGACGCCAUUUCUCGCUCGUCGUCUUAGGUGUCUGUAAGACACGGGUAAUAGGAUAUAGAUAAGUUGUAAGAGAAUGAUGAUUAGUUCAGUUUGAUCACAAAUUUAUAAAAGACCAAAGCUGGAACCAAAUUUGCUGAAGGAUAAGCCAGUUGGAAAUUGAUGUUAACUAAGUUUGAUCCCCAUUUAGUUUAUUGUUUUGAUGGCAGAAACUACCUGGAAACUACAUUUAAAGAUUAUAUAAUUCGAAAUGCGUUUGGUGUUCCUUAGGUUUCAUCAGUUAAAUGCUACAGGAUAUUAUUUUAUGGACUCCUUUUUCUUGUAAUAUAAGCAAGGUGGUCAAAGUGGAAAACAUCACCAUUAUAAGGAACAAUAUAGCUGUUUUCUCUUGUCCAUAUUGAAAACCAGAAAUGGAAAAGUGUGAACAAUUUAUCUUGUUUCUGCAAUUUAUCGGAGACUUCAAUCUCAAUUCUUAUUUCAUAUGUCCCCUCUAUAUCUAUAAAAUCUUUAGUUCAUAAUUCAUGUCCUUCACACAUUAAAACUUAGAAUAUAAAUCCUUCAAACACUUAAACCAAAACAUAGAAAAAACAUGGAAUCAAAAUUUUCAAGCCACAAAGUUCUGUUAGCACUAGCAAUAUCACUAGUCAUUUUCCAAAUGGCAUCAGCUGGUGACCCGGAUAUCCUAACAGACUUUGUGCUGCCACUGGAGGUACCAUUAGUUGAUCCGUCUUACUUCACCUUCUCGGGCCUGAGGGGACUCAUCGGAGCUCCACCACCAGAAAAAUUCAAGGCGACAAAGGCAAGCAUGGCCGAGUUUCCAGCCCUGAACGGACAAAGUGUUUCCUAUGCAAUCCUGCAGUAUCCUGCUGGCUCUGUCAAUCCUGUCCACACUCAUCCACGUGCAUCCGAGCUACUUUUCCUCGUGUCAGGAACACUGCAAGUUGGAUUCAUUGAUAGCACGAACAAGUUCUUCAAUCAGACGUUGCAAACUGGAGAUGUUUUCGUGUUCCCUAAGGGGUUAGUUCAUUUCCAGUAUAAUGCUGAUGCUAAGAAUUGUGCUUGGGCUAUAUCUGCGUUCGGAAGUGCAAAUGCAGGCACUGUUUCUGUUCCUAAUUCUGUGUUCAAUACCAGCAUUCCUGAUAACAUUUUGGCCAAGUCAUUCAAAACUGAUAUCAUCACCAUUCAGAAACUCAAGGUAGGUCUAGCCUGAAGAUUCACAUAUACUUGGGGGGAAGUUUUUAAUUUCAACAUUUUUAUUUCACAUUGUUGUUUUUCACUUUCCAAUGUAAAAAUAAUUAUUAACCUUCUGAGGAUCUGAUUAAGGAGGUUUAUGGCAUGCCAUCGGAAUGCAAAGUCUAAAAUAAAUGAAUUUCUUAGAGGGUGAUUGGAUUGGUCUUUAAGCUAUAAGUUAAAAGCCAUUAGUUGAUAAUACCUAACUCUUGGUCUUUGGCUUAUUUUUGUGCUUUUCAUACCUAAAAGUAAGUGUUUUUAAAUAUUUUUUAUUAUUGCGCCAAACACUACAAAAACUAAAAGAAGUACUUAAAAGCAAUAAAUACCUAAAAAAAUCAAAUGUUUGUGUCAUCGAACUGCUAGGAUUGAACAUAAUUUGAGAAAACUGCGGUAAAAGAAGUUUUAUUUUCUUUUUUCGUCUUUCCAAUGUAAAAAUAAUUAUUAACCUUCUGAGGAUCUGAUUAAGGAGGUUUAUGGCAUGCCAUCGGAAUGCAAAGUCUAAAAUAAAUGAAUUUCUUAGAGGGUGCUUGGAUUGGUCUUUAAGCUAUAAGUUAAAAGCCAUUAGUUGAUAAUACCUAACUCUUGGUCUUUGGCUUAUUUUUGUGCUUUUCAUACCUAAAAGUAAGUGUUUUUAAAUAUUUUUUAUUAUUGCGCCAAACACUACAAAAACUAAAAAAAGUACUUAAAAG